GAUGAACGCUGGCGGCGUGCCUAAUACAUGCAAGUCGAGCGAAUGGAUUAAGAGCUUGCUCUUAUGAAGUUAGCGUCGGACGGGUGAGUAACACGUGGGUAACCUGCCCAUAAGACUGGGAUAACUCCGGGAAACCGGGGCUAAUACCGGAUAAUAUUUUGAACUGCAUGGUUCAAAAUUGAAAGGCGGCUUCGGCUGUCACUUAUGGAUGGACCCGCGUCGCGUUAGCUAGUUGGUGAGGUAACGGCUCACCAAGGCAACGAUGCGUAGCCGACCUGAGAGGGUGAUCGGCCACACUGGGACUGAGACACGGCCCAGACUCCUACGGGAGGCAGCAGUAGGGAAUCUUCCGCAAUGGACGAAAGUCUGACGGAGCAACGCCGCGUGAGUGAUGAAGGCUUUCGGGUCGUAAAACUCUGUUGUUAGGGAAGAACAAGUGCUAGUUGAAUAAGCUGGCACCUUGACGGUACCUAACCAGAAAGCCACGGCUAACUACGUGCCAGCCGCCGCUGUAA
rnacentral:rRNA from 1 species